rnacentral:rRNA from 1 species
GCGAUACCCGAAUGGGGAAACCCAGUGUGACUCGUCACACUAUCAUUAACUGAAUCCAUAGGUUAAUGAGGCGAACCGGGGGAACUGAAACAUCUAAGUACCCCGAGGAAAAGAAAUCAACCGAGAUUCCCCCAGUAGCGGCGAGCGAACGGGGAGGAGCCCAGAGCCUGAAUCAGCAUGUGUGUUAGUGGAAGCGUCUGGAAAGGCGCGCGAUACAGGGUGACAGCCCCGUACACAAAAGCGCAUGUGCUGUGAGCUCGAUGAGUAGGGCGGGACACGUGGUAUCCUGUCUGAAUAUGGGGGGACCAUCCUCCAAGGCUAAAUACUCCUGACUGACCGAUAGUGAACCAGUACCGUGAGGGAAAGGCGAAAAGAACCCCGGCGAGGGGAGUGAAAAAGAACCUGAAACCGUGUACGUACAAGCAGUGGGAGCACCCUUUGGGUGUGACUGCGUACCUUUUGUAUAAUGGGUCAGCGACUUAUAUUCUGUAGCAAGGUUAACCGAAUAGGGGAGCCGGAGGGAAACCGAGUCUUAAUUGGGCGUUAAGUUGCAGGGUAUAGACCCGAAACCCGGUGAUCUAGCCAUGGGCAGGUUGAAGGUUGGGUAACACUAACUGGAGGACCGAACCGACUAAUGUUGAAAAAUUAGCGGAUGACCUGUGGCUGGGGGUGAAAGGCCAAUCAAACCGGGAGAUAGCUGGUUCUCCCCGAAAGCUAUUUAGGUAGCGCCUCGUGAAUUCAUCUCCGGGGGUAGAGCACUGUUUCGGCUAGGGGGCCAUCCCGGCUUACCAACCCGAUGCAAACUGCGAAUACCGGAGAAUGUUAUCACGGGAGACACACGGCGGGUGCUAACGUCCGUCGUGAAGAGGGAAACAACCCAGACCGCCAGCUAAGGUCCCAAAGUCAUGGUUAAGUGGGAAACGAUGUGGGAAGGCCCAGACAGCCAGGAUGUUGGCUUAGAAGCAGCCAUCAUUUAAAGAAAGCGUAAUAGCUCACUGGUCGAGUCGGCCUGCGCGGAAGAUGUAACGGGGCUAAACCAUGCACCGAAGCUGCGGCAGCGAACGUAUCACUUAAAGCGAUUCAGCGGGUUACGAUUGACGGAGCGAAGCGACGUCAAAGCGUAUACAAAGUCGAGUCGGUUUAAGGAUACGUUCGUUGGGUAGGGGAGCGUUCUGUAAGCCUGUGAAGGUGGCCUGUGAGGGUUGCUGGAGGUAUCAGAAGUGCGAAUGCUGACAUAAGUAACGAUAAAGCGGGUGAAAAGCCCGCUCGCCGGAAGACCAAGGGUUCCUGUCCAACGUUAAUCGGGGCAGGGUGAGUCGACCCCUAAGGCGAGGCCGAAAGGCGUAGUCGAUGGGAAACGGGUUAAUAUUCCCGUACUUGGUGUUACUGCGAAGGGGGGACGGAGAAGGCUAUGUUGGCCGGGCGACGGUUGUCCCGGUUUAAGCGUGUAGGCUGGUUUUCCAGGCAAAUCCGGAAAAUCAAGGCUGAGGCGUGAUGACGAGGCACUACGGUGCUGAAGCAACAAAUGCCCUGCUUCCAGGAAAAGCCUCUAAGCAUCAGGUAACAUCAAAUCGUACCCCAAACCGACACAGGUGGUCAGGUAGAGAAUACCAAGGCGCUUGAGAGAACUCGGGUGAAGGAACUAGGCAAAAUGGUGCCGUAACUUCGGGAGAAGGCACGCUGACACGUAGGUGAAGUGAUUUACUCACGGAGCUGAAGUCAGUCGAAGAUACCAGCUGGCUGCAACUGUUUAUUAAAAACACAGCACUGUGCAAACACGAAAGUGGACGUAUACGGUGUGACGCCUGCCCGGUGCCGGAAGGUUAAUUGAUGGGGUCAGCGCAAGCGAAGCUCCUGAUCGAAGCCCCGGUAAACGGCGGCCGUAACUAUAACGGUCCUAAGGUAGCGAAAUUCCUUGUCGGGUAAGUUCCGACCUGCACGAAUGGCGUAAUGAUGGCCAGGCUGUCUCCACCCGAGACUCAGUGAAAUUGAACUCGCUGUGAAGAUGCAGUGUACCCGCGGCAAGACGGAAAGACCCCGUGAACCUUUACUAUAGCUUGACACUGAACAUUGAGCCUUGAUGUGUAG